rnacentral:rRNA from 1 species
CCCCUAGUAACUGCGAGUGAAGCGGGAAAAGCUCAAAUUUCAAAUCUGGCGGUUCCGCCGUCCGAGUUGUAUUCUGGAGAAGCGUCUUCUGUGCCGGACCGUGUACAAGUCCCUUGGAACAGGGCGUCGUAGAGGGUGAGAAUCCCGUCUUUGACACGGACCGCCGGUGCUAUGCGAUGCGCUCUCGACGAGUCGAGUUGUUUGGGAAUGCAGCUCAAAAUGGGUGGUAAAUUCCAUCUAAAGCUAAAUAUUGGCGAGAGACCGAUAGCGAACAAGUACCGUGAGGGAAAGAUGAAAAGCACUUUGGAAAGAGAGUAAAACAGUACGUGAAAUUGUUGAAAGGGAAACGCUUGAAGUCAGUCGCGUCUGCCGGAACUCAGCCUUGCUCACGCUUGGCGCACUUUCCGGUCCGACGGGCCAGCAUCGGUUUCGAGCGGCGGACACUGGCGGGGGGAAGGUGGCAGCUCCGGCUGUGUUAUAGCCCUCCGUCGCAAACGYCGCCCGGGACCGAGGAAUCCGGCGCGAGCCUGGGAUGCUGGCGUAAUGGCUUUAAACGACCCGUCUUGAAACACGGACCAAGGAGUGCUACGYGCUCGCGAGUGUUUGGGUGGAAAACCCGGACGCGCAAUGAAAGUGAAAGUCGAUACCCCUCGCGGGGGCACCGACGCCCGAGCCUGAUGUUUUCGGACGGCCUUGCGGUAGAGCGAGUGCGUUGCGACCCGAAAGAUGGUGAACUAUUCCUGAGGAGGGCGAAGCCAGAGGAAACUCUGGUGGAGGCUCGUAGCGGUUCUGACGUGCAAAUCGAUCGCAGGACUUGGG